UGGGGAAUAUUGCACAAUGGGGGAAACCCUGAUGCAGCAACGCCGCGUGAAGGAAGACGGUUUUCGGAUUGUAAACUUCUAUCAAUAGGGACGAAGAAAGUGACUGUACCUAAAUAAGAAGCCCCGGCUAACUACGUGCCAGCAGCCGCGGUAAUACGUAGGGGGCAAGCGUUAUCCGGAAUUACUGGGUGUAAAGGGUGAGUAGGCGGCAUGGCAAGUAAGAUGUGAAAGCCCGAGGCUUAACCUCGGGAUUGCAUUUUAAACUGCUAAGCUAGAGUACAGGAGAGGAAAGCGGAAUUCCUAGUGUAGCGGUGAAAUGCGUAGAUAUUAGGAAGAACACCAGUGGCGAAGGCGGCUUUCUGGACUGGAAACUGACGCUGAGGCACGAAAGCGUGGGGAGCGAACAGGAUUAGAUACCC
rnacentral:rRNA from 1 species